UACGUAGGGGGCAAGCGUUGUCCGGAUUCAUUGGGCGUAAAGAGCGUGUAGGCGGCCAGGUAGGUCGGUUGUGAAAACUGGAGGCUCAACCUUCAGACGUCGACCGAAACCAUCUGGCUAGAGUCCGGUAGGGGAGCGUGGAAUUCCUGGUGUAGCGGUGAAAUGCGCAGAUAUCAGGAGGAACACCAGCGGCGAAGGCGGCGCUCUGGGCCGGAACUGACGCUGAGGAGCGAAAGCGUGGGUAGCAAACAGG
rnacentral:rRNA from 1 species